UACGUAGGGGGCGAGCGUUGUCCGGAUUCAUUGGGCGUAAAGCGCGCGCAGGCGGCUUGGAGAGCCCGGCGUGAAAGCCCCCAGCUCAACUGGGGGAGGCCGUCGGGGGACCUUUUAGGCUGGAGGCCGGUAGGGGAGAGUGGGAAUUCCCGGUGUAGUGGUGGAAUGCGUAGAGAUCGGGAGGAACACCAGUGGCGAAGGCGGCUCACUGGCCCGAUACUGACGCUGAGGCACGAAAGCGUGGGGA
rnacentral:rRNA from 1 species